AAGACUUUAAGUUAAAAAAACUAAUAGCCUUCAAAGCUAUAAAUAUAAGGAAAAUCUUUUAAGUCUUA
rnacentral:tRNA from 1 species